UACGUAGGGGGCAAGCGUUGUCCGGAUUUAUUGGGCGUAAAGAGCGUGUAGGCGGCCAGACAAGUCUGCUGUGAAAACUCGAGGCUCAACCUCGAGCUGUCGGUGGAAACUGUCUGGCUAGAGUCCGGAAGAGGAGAGUGGAAUUCCUGGUGUAGCGGUGAAAUGCGCAGAUAUCAGGAAGAACACCAAUGGCGAAGGCAGCUCUCUGGGACGGUACUGACACUGAGACGCGAAAGCGUGGGGAGCGAACAGG
rnacentral:rRNA from 1 species